rnacentral:rRNA from 1 species
UGAGUGAAGAAGGCCUUCGGGUUGUAAAGCUCUUUCGGCAGGAACGAAACGGCGAGCUCUAACAUAGCUCGCUAAUGACGGUACCUGAAGAAGAAGCACCGGCUAACUACGUGCCAGCAGCCGCGGUAAUACGUAGGGUGCGAGCGUUAAUCGGAAUUACUGGGCGUAAAGCGUGCGCAGGCGGUUGUGUAAGACAGGUGUGAACUCCCCGGGCUUAACCUGGGAACUGCGCUUGUGACUGCACGACUAGAGUAUGGCAGAGGGGGGUGGAAUUCCACGUGUAGCAGUGAAAUGCGUAGAGAUGUGGAGGAACACCGAUGGCGAAGGCAGCCCCCUGGGCCAAUACUGACGCUCAUGCACGAAAGCGUGGGGAGCAAACAGGAUUAGAUACCCUGGUAGUCCGCGCCCUAAACGA